CAUUUGCUGACUCAGGGAGGCACGGCCCUUGGCGAAUUUUCCUUUGGUCUAAACCAAAUGGAAAGAGGAAAUCCAAGGUGAAUGUUAAAUACAGGAAAAUAUACGGAAACACCUUAACUCCAGGAGUAGCAGCAGCGGCCCAAGUGUGGGGAGGAGGAGAAGCUGCGUUCAGACCAUCACAACCAGAGACCUAGGGCUGCCGAGGGAGUGGCUGGUGUGACCGGCAUGGUUCCUGCAGGAGGAAGAACCCACUCCUAAUACACAGGGCAGAGGAGAAGAAGCUUACACAACCUAUAUUGUUACAUGAAAAGAGGAAAACAUUUCGAAAUCUGGAGCCAGAAUCCUUUUAAGAUCGUGACAUCACUUACGGAGGGUGUUUCGCUCUUCACAGUGCAGCUGCCGUCACAUCCCUUUGAACUUACGUUCCAUGUAGCAGCUGUAAAGAAAUUGCAGAGGGAAAAGGGCGUAAGCUAGCCGCCCUGUCACAGGAGCAUUUUUUGAUGCCCGACCAGACAACUUCUACUGACGUGCUGGACCAUCUAAUAAAGGAGCUGGAAGAUGCAAUUUCUUCUUCGAGGUGGAUGAUUACUGGUACCAUGCAGUGUUAGGGUUUUGUUAUCAAACAAAACAGAGGCAGUGAAUACUGAGUAGGUAGCGAGUGGAUGCUACAGAACAGGUGCAUGGGGCAUCCUUUCUCGGAGCGGAAGUUCCGUUGGUGGGCAGUCACGUGCACGGUUACGGGUCCUGGAAACCCAGUUGUGCGGCCGUAGAGAGCGCGGACUGUGCUCGGAGUUGUCCUACUGCAGGGUUCCAGUUCAUCUGGAGCAUUCCAGGGUGUAAUUGCGGCAUUCUAUAGCAACAUCAUUGCUAACCGGUAAUCCCGGUCACUCCAUUAGCUCUGAGGCAUCUCAGCUGGGCAGUGAGCCUUAGCUAGGAUGAGCGGGGCGCGGGAGUGAACUCACACACCCUAGCUCUGUGACCUUAGCAAAUAGCAGCCCCUCCCGUCGCACUGUAUUAGUUACCUGCUGCUGAGUAGCAAGCGGCUCUCAGAGUGUGUUAGUGACAUCCAGAGCAAAUGCUGUUUUACAGCUUCCGUCUUUUCCUCUUUACUCUGUAAGCACUAAAAGCCAUUCCACCCACGUGGUGGGGCAGACCUAGAAUCCCAGCACUCAGGAGGCUGAGUCAGGAGGAUGGAAAGUUCGAAGCUGGCCUGGUCUACAGAGAAAGAUUUUGUUUCAAAAAACAAAACCAAAAAUAAACAAACAAAAAAAGACAAC
rnacentral:lncRNA from 1 species